rnacentral:rRNA from 1 species
GAUGAACGCUGGCGGCGUGCCUAAUACAUGCAAGUCGAGCGAAUGGAUUAAGAGCUUGCUCUUAUGAAGUUAGCGGCGGACGGGUGAGUAACACGCGGGUAACCUGCCCAUAAGACUGGGAUAACUCCGGGAAACCGGGGCUAAUACCGGAUAACAUUUUGAACCGCAUGGUUCGAAAUUGAAAGGCGGCUUCGGCUGUCACUUAUGGAUGGACCCGCGUCGCAUUAGCUAGUUGGUGAGGUAACGGCUCAACAAGGCAACGAUGCGUAGCUGACCUGAGAGGGUGGUCGGCCAAACUGGGACUGGGACACGGCCCAGACUCCUACGGGAGGCAGCAGUAGGGAAUCUUCCGCAAUGGACGAAAGUCUGACGGAGCAACGGCGCGUGAGUGAUGAAGGCUUUCGGGUCGUAAAACUCUGUUGUUAGGGAAGAACAAGUGCUAGUUGAAUAAGCUGGCACCUUGACGGUACCUAACCAGAAAGCCACGGCUAACUACGUGCCAGCCGCCGCGGUAA